rnacentral:tRNA from 1 species
GCGGGUGUAGUUCAAUGGUAGAACACAGGCCUUCCAAGCCUGAUAUGGCGGUUCGAUCCCGCUCGCCCGCUCCA